rnacentral:rRNA from 1 species
GCGGUGGAUGAUGUGGAUUAAUUCGAUGCAACGCGAAAACCUUACCUACCCUUGACAUGUCUGGAACCUUGCUGAGAGGCGAGGGUGCCUUCGGGAGCCAGAACACAGGUGCUGCAUGGCUGUCGUCAGCUCGUGUCGUGAGAUGUUGGGUUAAGUCCCGCAACGAGCGCAACCCUUGUCAUUAGUUGCUACAUUUAGUUGGGCACUCUAAUGAGACUGCCGGUGACAAACCGGAGGAAGGUGGGGAUGACGUCAAGUCCUCAUGGCCCUUAUAGGUGGGGCUACACACGUCAUACAAUGGCCGGUACAAAGGGCUGCCAACCCGCGAGGGGGAGCCAAUCCCAUAAAACCGGUCGUAGUCCGGAUCGCAGUCUGCAACUCGACUGCGUGAAGUCGGAAUCGCUAGUAAUCGUGGAUCAGAAUGUCACGGUGAAUACGUUCCCGGGUCUU